rnacentral:tRNA from 1 species
GAUUCCGUAGCACAGUUGGCGGUGCGCCCAAUUCCAAAACCGGGUGGUCGCGGGUUCUAGUCCCGUUGGAGUCC